AUUGAACGCUGGCGGCAGGCCUAACACAUGCAAGUCGAACGAGUGGCGGACGGGUGAGUAAUGUCUGGGAAACUGCCUGAUGGAGGGGGAUAACUACUGGAAACGGUAGCUAAUACCGCCUACCAUCAGCUGUGCCCAGAUGGGAGGAGCUAGUUGGUGGGGUAACGGCUCCCCAGGGCGACGAUCCCUCGCUGGUCUGAGAGUAUGACCAGCCACAUGGGAACUGAGACACGGUCCAGCUUCCUACGGGAGGCAGAGUGGGGAAAUAUGGCACAAUGGGCGCAAGCCUGAUGCAGCCAUGCCGCGUGUAUGAAGCAGGCCUGCGGGUUGUAAAGUACUUUCAGCGGGGAGGCGUUACCCGCAGAAGAAGCACCGGCUAACUCCGUGCCAGCAGCCGCGGUAAUAC
rnacentral:rRNA from 1 species